GGAAUAUUGCACAAUGGGGGAAACCCUGAUGCAGCGACGCCGCGUGAGUGAAGAAGUAUUUCGGUAUGUAAAGCUCUAUCAGCAGGAAAGAAAAUGACGGUACCUGACUAAGAAGCCCCGGCUAACUACGUGCCAGCAGCCGCGGUAAUACGUAGGGGGCAAGCGUUAUCCGGAUUCACUGGGUGUAAAGGGAGCGUAGACGGCGACGCAAGGCUGGAGUGAAAGGCCGGGGCCCAACCCCGGGACUGCUCUGGAAACUGCGGCGCUGGAGUACGGGAAGGGCAGGCGGAAUUCCUGGUGUAGCGGUGAAAUGCGUAGAUAUCAGGAGGAACACCGGCGGCGAAGGCGGCCUGCUGGACCGUGACUGACGUUGAGGCUCGAGAGCGUGGGGAGCAAA
rnacentral:rRNA from 1 species